UACGGAGGGUGCAAGCGUUAUCCGGAUUCACUGGGUUUAAAGGGUGCGUAGGCGGGGUGGUAAGGCAGUGGUGAAAUCCUGCAGCUCAACUGUAGAAUUGCCAUUGAUACUGCCAUUCUUGAGUGCGCUUGAAGUAGGCGGAAUGUGCCGUGUAGCGGUGAAAUGCUUAGAUAUGGCACAGAACACCAAUUGCGAAGGCAGCUUACUAAGGCGAUACUGACGCUGAGGCACGAAAGCGUGGGGAUCGAACAGG
rnacentral:rRNA from 1 species